rnacentral:lncRNA from 1 species
GGGAACUGGCAUCUUAGAUUCAGGUCUCAGCCAUAUCAGUCAAUUGCCAUUUCGUAGACGCAGUUAUCUAAGGCCAUCUUGGUGAAACAGGAGUAAGGCUGUGCUGCAUCUCUUAGAGAUAUGCAGGGACCUCUGGAUUGCGUCAUGGCCUACGUGGAUGCCGCAACAAUAUGAAACACCUGAAGGAAAAGUUAAAAAUGAAAUCAGCCAAGUUUUAACAGAUGUUUAGAUACGCAAGUUUCUUAAACCAAAUAGCUAGAUCAUGGCUGUGUAUCUUAGUUACAGGUCCUUCUAGUUGUGGGAUGUGGGACGCCGCCUCAACGUUGCCUGACAAGCAGUGCCAUGUCCACGCCCAGGAUCCGAACCCUGGGCUGCUGCAGCGGAGCGCACGAACUUAACCACUCGCCCAAGGAGCCGGCCCCGGAAAUUUUUCUUAAAAAGUGGCACUGGUAGGAGGUCACAGCUCAAAUUUCUACAGAAUGAAAAGUUUCAGCUACAUGAGAGAUAUAGGCGUGUAUAAGUUGUUUGGAAGUGGUAAGAAUGUAGCAAAGCAGAAAGAAC